UACGUAGGGUGCAAGCGUUGUCCGGAAUUAUUGGGCGUAAAGAGCUUGUAGGCGGUUUGUCGCGUCUGCUGUGAAAUUUCGGGGCUCAACCCCGAACUUGCAGUGGGUACGGGCAGACUAGAGUGUGGUAGGGGAGACUGGAAUUCCUGGUGUAGCGGUGAAAUGCGCAGAUAUCAGGAAGAACACCCGUGGCGAAGGCGGUUCUCUGGGACGGUGCUGACGCUGAGACGCGAAAGCGUGGGGAGCGAACAGG
rnacentral:rRNA from 1 species